rnacentral:rRNA from 1 species
GACGAACGCUGGCGGCGUGCUUAACACAUGCAAGUCGAACGGAAAGGCCCUGCUUUUGUGGGGUGCUCGAGUGGCGAACGGGUGAGUAACACGUGAGUAACCUGCCCUUGACUUUGGGAUAACUUCAGGAAACUGGGGCUAAUACCGGAUAGGAGCUCCUGCUGCAUGGUGGGGGUUGGAAAGUUUCGGCGGUUGGGGAUGGACUCGCGGCUUAUCAGCUUGUUGGUGGGGUAGUGGCUUACCAAGGCUUUGACGGGUAGCCGGCCUGAGAGGGUGACCGGCCACAGUGGGACUGGGAUACGGCCCAGACGCCUACGGGAGGCAGGAGUGGGGAAUAGUGCACAAUGGGCGGAAGCCGGAUGCAGCAACGCCGCGUGCGGGAGGACGGCCUUCGGGUGGGAAACCGCUUUCGCCUGUGACGAAGCGUGAGUGACGGUAAUGGGUAAAGAAGCACCGGCUAACUACGU